GUUUAUGUUUUUGUUUUCAUCGGAGGCAGCUUGCAGGAUACGAAAACGCAGCUAGAGCUGUUCCGGAUCCGCAUUUCGGGAAACGAUUCGGGUGCACCGAUGACUCUGCAGUGUCUCUCGUCAAGAUUUCUGGUGAUCGCGAAGCAAUUCCUCCAGGGCAAGAAUAUUCUGGUGAGCGUGAGCUUUGCCGAUGGAAGUUGGAAAGCCAAGAAGAAUCCAGCCGUAAGACAAGGAAACACAAAGAUGACCUAAAACGUAUUACGAGGUAAGGCUGGAGGUAAGGAGCUGUAAGGAGGCGUUUCCGGUAUUAGAGUCAGUUAGAUUAAUUUUAAGAUCAUCCUCUGAAUAAAUUGAGUCGUUCAGCAAUCGACACUUGGCAUAAAAUAUCUGAAAGUGUCAAUUCACAUUUAAUUUUUUUCUCACUUCACAGUACCUUUCCACGAGAACGGAAGAAGCGCAAAGUGGACAAAAAACAUCAAACUGGUGGCAAUAAUUAAUCUGAAAAAAUCACCCAGCAGGCAGCUGAUUUCCAGUCCCAAGCAAGUGAUAGUUCUCAGUGACGAACAAGGUGCAAUCAAUAUAAGAAGAGCAAACUAUCGGUUAAUGGUCGGAUCGUACGCUUCUCUGGAACCGGUGCCGGAGUUUCCAGAAUCCUAUGAUCCCUUCGAACCGACUUAAUCUCCGACUCAGUCGCGCCAGUUUACGGACACAAUCUGGGUAGCAUAUUGACGGUUAGCUAUCCGGAACAGCAUCACAAACAACACUAUCACCAUCACUUCACCAGCAUCUGCGAGGUAUACUCGACCUGCAUCCGACAUCAUCGAUGGACAAUCAUUCCACCGAGGACCAUCUUCGCCGAUUAAAUCGAUUCAAGUUCCUGUCACGAUCAAAUCUGUUGUCAUGGUGCCCGGAACAUGCAUUGAUAUUUCGAUCUUCGGCGGCAAAAAUGUGGACACAUGCUGACAUUUCGUCGUAUUCGCACCUUGGACCUGCGUAACCAAGUAUAUACUAAUUUCGGUUUCUGCAGUUAUACGUUUGUCGUAGUGUACGUUUUUUCAUUUUUAGGCUACUAAUAAAUACAUAUGGGGCGGUGGGUGGGGUGGUUAUGGUCAUCACAAUGAGGAACUAACCGAAGAUACCCAAAGUUACAUUAACAUUUCAACGGAUUGCAUAGGUAUAAAGUGAAAAUCUUUGGAGAUAUUUUCUUAGCCAGGAUGUACUAAGGCUUUUUCGGUUCACCAUAUCCUCCUAAUGCUAGGUGAAGCAAAUAAAGUUGGGACUUAAGCUUUUCGGUUCACCAUGUCCUCCUAAUGCAAGGUGAAGCAAAUAAAGUUAGGACUUGCUCGAGAUUUUUCGGUUCACCAUGUCCUCCUAAUGCAAGGUGAAGCAAAUAAAGUUGGGACUUGCUCUAGUUGUUUCGGUUCACCAUGUCCUACUAAUGCUAGGUGAAGCAAAAAAGGUUAGGACUUGCUCGAGAUUUUUCGGUUCACCAUGUCCUCCUAAUGCAAGGUGAAGCAAAUAAAGUUGGGACUUACUCAAGCUUUUCGGUUCACCAUGUCCUAAUGCAAGGUGAAGCAAAUAAAGUUGGUACUUGCUCAAGCUGUUUCGGUUCACCAUGUCCUCCUAAUGCAAGGUGAAGCAAAUAAAGUUGGGACUUACUCAAGCUUUUUCGGUUCACCAUGUCCUCCUAAUGCUAGGUGAAGCAAAAAAGGUUAGGACUUGCUCGAGAUUUUUCGGUUCACCAUGUCCUCCUAAUGCAAGGUGAAGCAAAUAAAGUUGGGACUUACUCAAGCUUUUCGGUUCACCAUGUCCUCCUAAUGCAAGGUGAAGCAAAUAAAGUUGGUACUUGCUCAAGCUGUUUCGGUUCACCAUGUCCUCCUAAUGCAAGGUGAAGAAAAUAAAGUUGGGACUUACUCAAGCUUUUUCGGUUCACCAUGUCCUCCUAAUGCUAGGUGAAGCAAAUAAAGUUAGGACUUGCUCAAGCUUUUUCGGUUCACCAUGUCCUCCUAAUGCAAGGUGAAGCAAAUAAAGUUGGGACUUACUCAAGCUUUUCGGUUCACCAUGUCCUAAUGCAAGGUGAAUCAAAUAAAGUUGGUACUUGCUCAAGCUGUUUCGGUUCACCAUGUCCUCCUAAUGCAAGGUGAAGCAAAUAAAGUUGGGACUUACUCAAGCUUUUCGGUUCACCAUGUCCUCCUAAUGCAAGGUGAAGCAAAUAAAGUUGGUACUUGCUCAAGCUGUUUCGGUUCACCAUGUCCUCCUAAUGCAAGGUGAAGCAAAUAAAGUUGGGACUUACUCAAGCUUUUCGGUUCACCAUGUCCUCCUAAUGCAAGGUGAAGCAAAUAAAGUUGGUACUUGCUCAAGCUUUUUCGGUUCACCAUGUCCUCCUAAUGCUAGGUGAAGCAAAUAAAGUUGGGACUUAAGCUUUUCAGUUCACCAUGUCCUCCUAAUGCAAGGUGAAGCAAAUAAAGUUAGGACUUGCUCGAGAUUUUUCGGUUCACCAUGUCCUCCUAAUGCAAGGUGAAGCAAAUAAAGUUAGGACUUGCUCGAGAUUUUUCGGUUCACCAUGUCCUCCUAAUGCAAGGUGAAGCAAAUAAAGUUGGGACUUACUCAAGCUUUUCGGUUCACCAUGUCCUCCUAAUGCAAGGUGAAGCAAAUAAAGUUGGGACUUACUCAAGCUUUUUCGGUUCACCAUGUCCUCCUAAUGCAAGGUGAAGCAAAUAAAGUUGGGACUUACUCAAGCUUUUCGGUUCACCAUGUCCUCCUAAUGCAAGGUGAAGCAAAUAAAGUUGGGACUUACUCAAGCUUUUCGGUUCACCAUGUCCUCCUAAUGCAAGGUGAAGCAAAUAAAGUCAUAAAUUCGCAUUUAAUCAAGUACUGAUGGACUAUCGCAGAAGUUUCAAAAAUUGACAUGUAAUAGUUGCGCGAUUUUAUUAAAUGCAGAUCCAGCGCACUUACUCGUUACAAAUUGAACUCGGUAGGUGUGAUGCUAUCCCGAAUGUUUAUUGACAUUUCCGAAUUUUAGAUCACUGACUGCGUUGUCUAGUACCACUUCACGGUGAAAACAAACAUAUGACACCGGUAAUGGUCGGUGAAAGUGAUUCACUGAUCAUGCGAGAAAAAGUUGGAAGUUCGAAAGUCAAAACUUUGGCGUCGGCAUUCUAAUUUGGGUUGGCCGAUGCAUAAGAAUUACCUGUGUCGGCGAUGCUUCAAUUAGAAUGCCGAUGUUUUUACUUCGGCGAACUAUUGUUGGGGAUAUUUGAUUUCACAUAUUGACUUCGGUCUAAAAUAAAUCAAUAUGUGCAAUAUUAACCCACAAGUUUUUCAUCAUCACCCAUUAUGAAAUGCUGAAAAAAAAAACAAUCGUUCAAUUUGGUUAUUUAUCUAACUAUACCUAAUUGUUUAUUUGCCAUGUCUGCACAUAAUAUGUAUAAAAUUUUGAAUUAAUGGGACGCAAUUAGUGAAAUACUAGAUUGAAAGUAAUGAGCUGGACUUUGGUAUGGUGAGAUGAUUAAUUCUUCAUUUCUGUAAUAAAAUGGUGCAAACAGCGUAGGUAUUAUGAUUUCUUGACUAAUUGGGUUUUUAAAUUAAGAAAAAUGUAUCGAUUUUUUGGUUUUAUACGAAAGAGCACGUUUUUCUAAGCAACUAUGAUUUUUUUCAGAUUUUUAGAACUUUAUUUUGAUACCUAAAAUCAAUUUCAAAGAGAUUUUUUUAAAUCGCCUUUUGACAGCUGGGAAACUGUUUGACAGCUCCACCCUGUACAAAAUGCGACGAGGGGUGAUUCGACAAAUCGCUCCCAUACAAACUUCAAAUUGAUUUUUAAAUAGGUUCCCGGGCACAAAAAUUCAUGAAAAUUUGGAUUUCGGCUCAGUUUUGCAUGCAGAUUCAGAAUAUGGAUUUAUUUCUAUACCGCUAAAGAAGCCAAUUUGAUGCUGUUUGAGCAAAAGUUUGGGUAACUGUGUUGUUGUAUUAUUUAUUUCUUGCAACUUCAACAGCACAGUUACCCAAACUUUUGCUCAAAUAGCAUCAAAUUAGUCAAAAAAUCAAUAAUCACCAGGAUAAUCACGCUGUUUGCACCAUUUCAUUGUAGAAAUGAAGAAUUGAUUAUCUCACCAUACAAAAAUCCAGCUCACUAUUUAAUCCAGUACUUCACUGAUUGCGUACUAUUGGAAUGAAAUUAGCUAAAGUUACAGCGGAAAAUGCCAACAAUUGGAACCCCUGCCCGAAUGGUCUCAUACCCCGGCAUACGUGCCAGACAGCCCACACUGGAUGCCAGAUGCGUUCGAAAUAUCACUAACUGCUUCGUUGAUAUUUAGCAUAAUACUUCUUGCAUUCGGUACAGAAGCCGGAACACAUUGCAAGCAAAAUUCGUGGCUGUCAGCGCCGGGAGGUUGACAAAGUUUCGUACGGCGGAUUGUGUUAAUUGUGACGUCUUUGCUGAACGAAUCUGUAAAAGACGAGGCAAAUAUUUCAAAAUCUAUUCGAUUUAAUUUUGUUUUCUAGAGUGGGGUACCCUUGCUAAAAAAAUAAGCACCAAUAAUCGCACCUUUCGUACCUAAUUUUUGUUUUCCAACGGUGGUUUGGGAAAUAGCAGCUCUCAAGGUCGAUUUUCGCCAGUAGUAAUAAUGGUACGCAUUCCCUUUCCAUUCCUGGAACGUCUGCCAAUUGCAUUCGAAGAUAACCGGUCGACAAUGAUUCCUGAUGACCGGAUGGAUCUUAUCAAUAGUUCCCAGUAGUGACAAAUAAUCCCAAAUUCACUGAGAAAGAUCUAGUAUGAUGGGAACCACAUAGAGCUGCUAAAUAUAGAAGUUUUCAUUAAAAUAAUAUCGUUUCUCUAUCAGCAUUUAACUUACCUACAAAUGGAAUGAUUAUUCCGAAAUCCUAACGACUACUGGAUGUAGUUUCCUGAAGCACCACCACCUACACUGGAUAGUGAUCCCAUCCGAGGCAAUUGUCGACGGCUUCUUCAGAACCAGACCAGCUACUCGCUUUAGAAAUGUCUCGGCUCCCUAACCAUUGCUACGGUAUUUCCGUUCUCAUGACUGAUCCAACCAGUAACUUCUAAAUUUGAAUUCCGCUCCGACAACAAGCAGUUGUUACCUGGAAACCUAGAGAAGGAGCCCCAUAGGAUGUCCUUCUUGCUUUGAUAAUCGGCAAAGUCAAGAAAGGAGCAGUUCCACCGUUUAGGGAAAAACUUUCCUCACGUACACUAACGUUUUGGCAAAAUCCGGUCGAUGGCCAGUUGGAUCAGGAGCACUGGUUCCUUCAGUAUAUAGUCCUCACUUGGCAGAACCGGAAUUCGCUCCCACGGACUUCCAGGGACUCAACAUCCCGACACUACGAUUGGCGCACGUAAAACUACAAAGUAAAUAAAUAUUCCACUUUUUUUUUUUUUCUCUCCCUUAUUGGCACAGACCUACUGGUCCAUAUCGCAGAUAUUCCACUUUGAAAUUCGGCGAAAACAAAACAAGAAUCGGACUGUCAUUUUGACAUUUACUUCUGUCAAACUAAGGGAUCGGACAUAAAUGAGGCUAACAAAUGAAAAGCCCCAUAUGCCGGUCACAGAUGAUGCCGUGGUCACCAAAAAAUAUGCAAGUUGUAUAUCGUUAUCGUUGAUUAAACUACUUCGUGAAACCUAACACAAAUCAAGAAAUUACAUACAUUCAAUUCAAGUUCCUUUGCUGAUCUCAAAUUCCUGCUACUUCAUGGUAUCCGGUAAAACAAAAAUAAUCGGCUGUUUUUCCAGUAUCUCAUUUUUGGCAUCUGCAUCUUCCGAAAUUGGGUCAACUUUCGAAAGGGAAAUAGUAUUUUUGAUCUAGUAAGAGUAUGUGCACAAUGAUAAUAAACUCUCGAAUAAACUCAUAAAUUCCAGAGUCUGAAUCCAGAAUGUAGUUUGAUGCCGGAUUCCUGACUCAGCAGAACGAUGGAAUGGGUUCCAAAGGAAUUAAUUUCCUUCCAGAUAAGAAUGCCAUAAUAAACAGCUUCAAAGUGGCUGGUGCUCUUCGAUGUUUGAAAAUAUAAAUAUAUUCUUGGAAUUUUCAAUGUUUUCGUUGUAAUUAAUCAAAAACAUUACAAUUACAUGCAUUUUUUGCAUUUUACUAUGUAUUUUAUCAAGUUUGUGCAUUUAAGAAGAAUUUGCAAUAUUUUUGCAUUUUCUAGGUAUUGACGCAUUUAUGCACUUUUAUUUCGAAUUGAGGUAUUUUUAUCGAAUUUAGUGUACCGUAUUACCCCGCUAAUACGACACCGACUGUUGUCGUAUAACCGGGGUAAAUUUUUAAUUCGACAAACUGGUCGCCCUACACCACCAUGCUCAUUAAAAUUUGGCAACCCUAUUUUUGUUUUUGUUUUGAUUCCCGGAUUUGUUAUGAAACAUAAUUUCGUGAAAUAUUACGGUGGCGCGAAUGAAAAGCUCGUUCUUUCUACGAUUGUUGCCAUCCUCAGUUCAUUCCGGUUGGUCUCCAGGCGGUUUGGGUGUUGAAUAGCACCAACUCAGAACUUCCGGAAUUUGCGGCUGCAAGAGGAGUUGCUGCGGGUGCGAGUAUAAUCGCAAUAUCAAACUGUUUUGCAUUAACAGUGUACAUCGCUGUGGCAUUUGGACAUUUUUUAAUUCGACAUGUGUCGUAUAAGCGGGGUACGAAUUAAAAAGUGUCGUAUUAAAACGUGUCGAACCAGAGGGGUAAGACGGUAUUUUUGAUGCAUUUUUGUAUUUUUCGUGCAUUGAAGUAUUUUUGUGCAUUUUAUUGAAUCGUGUAUUUUCAAUUCAGUAAUUUAGCAGAGUGAAUUGCCCCUCGUCUGGCUCCCACAGAAAAUUUGAAAACAGCUCGCACAGUAAAAGUGAAAUGUGACUUUUACUGUACGCGCUGUUUUCAAUUUUUCUGUGGGAGUGAGCAGGACAGGGCAAAUUCAUACAGAGGCUCAUGGCCACAUUCCCAGUUAUUUCAAAACAUCCGUUGCAAUGCUUUACAUAACCACACUGCAUGAGCUUGGACGUCUGUUAUCUGAGAUUAAAUCAAUUUCCGCACCGCCGGACACUUCAGAGUUCAACCAAAAGCAUAAUAAAAUAUUGCUAAAAAUGGAUCACUAAAAAACUAAAACGGCCGCUAUGAAAUAAACCAAGGAGAACGACAUUUCCUUUGCUUACUGGAAAAAUCCGCAUUUAUCCGUUGCUAACCGUCGUUAACCGCGUCUAACUGCUGCUCGGUGCGGAUUUCCCGGUUAGAAAAGGAAGUGCCAAACUUGGUGCCAAACCCCCUGAAGUAAACAGAUAGCGCCACCGUAGCCUUGUAUGUUUGACAUAACUCGGCUACUGUCACAAUGUUAAAACCCAUAUACGGUGACUCCUUUGCUUAGAUGUGAUAUCAGCUAGAAAAACGUGCUUCAAUCAAUGCUGAAAUCUAUGUGUAUAGGGUAUGUAGAGAAUAGAAGAGGUACAGAAAAAUGUGAGAAAGGUAGAAGUUGAAAGAGAGAAUAACGGGGUUGCCAUGGAGACGCUGGGUAGAAGGCAAGUAAACAGAACUAAUAAAUCAGUCUUGUGAAUUAUUUUGACGGAAACAAACGUGUUUCAUUUCGCGGUGGAAAUUGGCCGAAAGAACCAACCCCAGACAGUUUUGAGGCCUGAAAAUAGAUUCCGCUUGUUUCGGACACGACAUUGGCGCAUUAGCUCCCGAAAAGUAAGUUCCGCGGGUGUACAUUUGCAUUAUCAAUGCUGAUUGAAAGUCGGAAUGCCAUGCAUCGUGCACAGAUGGGACUGAAUAAAGAAAUAUGUCCAUCGUGGGUUGAGAUUGGAGACUAAAAAGAGACGAGAAUUUAUCCUUCAAGUAAAGUAAGUACACACACAUAUUCUGCUCAUGCAUGAAGUGCCAGUGAGAUUUUGUAUUCAUGUUUUAAAAGUUCAGAUUUUCAUUUGGCCUAGUUCGUCAAACACAAUUAUCGUUCAAGAAUGUUCCAUUUUUUUCUCCACCAUUCAUUUAGUUGCGAGAGUUAUCCGUGUGAGAGUGGGAGAGAGAAAAACAUUUCACUGCGGUUUUCAUUCGCAAGUGGGAAAUAACUGUAACUUAGCAACCGUUAUUUGCCACUUGUCAAUCAACACACACACAUAGAGGCAAAAGUGGUAAAAGAAUGCAUUCUGAUGUGCAGCAUAACAAGUUGAAAUCACUUUUUGUUUUCAUCAAGCUAUUUGUCUUGAUAGUCGAUGGAGGACAUGCAUACACUGGCUUGGUUAUUUCCCCACCGGUUUUGAUAAUGUUGCUGGUACAUAUUUUCAUCGUUGCAGAAUUUCCUAUUGCAUUAUUGAUGUUUGCUUCAUGUGCUGCAAAACCAUGCCCUGGGAGAUAUCUUCUUCUUCUUCUUCUUAUUUCUGGCGAGCCGACACCGUUCGGCAUCAGCUCUAGUUUAACGUCCGCCUAUUUCUGGUACUAAGCCUAAACACGGACGGUCAGGGAGACAUCCACACACACCUGACACCCUACAUAUCGAACCCAUCAACACAUGGGCCGGGACCUACGGCUUUACUUCCUAUCCGAGGGAAGGCGUGAUCAGAUAUUUUUGUCUCAGAAAUACCGACGGCGUCGACUAGGAUUGAACCUAGACCGACUGGGGUGAGAGGCAACCACGCUUACCACUACACCACCGACGCCGCUCUG